CAGCGUGUAGCUAAACACUUAUAGCAUCUUAAUUACACUAAGAAGAUUAUUCGUGAAAAUCGAAUCACUCUGA
rnacentral:tRNA from 1 species